CCGCCCUUGAAUCCCCCUUUCUCUCAACUCUCUCUCUCUCUAUCUCUCCCUCUCUCUCAGAAACCGUAGCCGCCUCCCUCCACUUCUAACUUAAACCACCGGAAUCCAUGGCUUUCAAGGCCAUCGGAGUCCUACACCGACCUCCUAUGACUCUUACACGCUUGGUUACUAAAGUUUCAAAGCCUGAACAUAAAGAAGCUUGGUCCAUGCUUCGUUUAACUCAAGUUUUAUAGCCGUCUCCGGGCUUGCUCUGGCAAGCCAUGGUUGUUUUGAGCUUGUUCUCAACCUCUCCUGCUUAGAUCAAUGACUCUUCUAGGCCUUUCUCACUAUCUGGUUUCUUCUGAAACCCUAACCUUUUAAGGUCCUUCUGAUUUCUUUAGCUUUUUUCUAGAUCUAUGUUUUCCUUAAACUUUAAAACAAUUUCUCGAGGUUUCUUUCAAAACUAUGCUUGCGAAACCUCUCUUUUUUCGAUUUAUGAUUUUUGUUACAGUUAUCUGGAUGCUUCUCUGAUUUUUGUUGAGUUUCUUGUGUGUUUCUUCUACUGUAUUUCUUAUUAGUUUCUUCUACCAUGUUUUCCUGUGUGUUUCUUCUACCAUGUUCUUAUGAGUUCUUCUACUGAUUUCACAUGGUGUUCUUUUACUAUGUUCUUCAUGAAUCCCUUCUACUGGAAAAUGCAUAAUUAAAAGUCUCAGUUCUUUUCUGAGAUUUCUGAACUUGUUUCGUUAGUAUUGCUGCCGAAUUUACUUAUCUUCACUCGGUUAAUGGUAAGAACCCUAGAAUUUGGGGGUUCAUCUGAGCUUUUGAGACCGUUGGCU
rnacentral:lncRNA from 1 species